GCCUACGGGGGGCAGCAGUAGGGAAUCUUCCACAAUGGGCGAAAGCCUGAUGGAGCAACGCCGCGUGAGUGAAGAAGGUCUUCGGAUCGUAAAACCCUGUUGUUAGAGAAGAAAGUGCGUGAGAGUACCUGUUCACGUUUCGACGGUAUCUAACCAGAAAGCCACGGCUAACUACGUGCCAGCAGCCGCGGUAAUACGUAGGUGGCAAGCGUUAUCCGGAUUUAUUGGGCGUAAAGGGAACGCAGGCGGUCUUUUAAGUCUGAUGUGAAAGCCUUCGGCUUAACCGGAGUAGUGCAUUGGAAACU
rnacentral:rRNA from 1 species